UUUUGUAAAUUAUGAAAUCUUACUUUCAUUUUCAGUCCAUCUCAAGACACCGCUUUGCUUUUCUCGUUUCCCAUUUCCUCUUUUUUCAAUAAUCUCACACAGAGGGAAAUCAAUUCGUUGUUGGAUCUCACUAAGGUUAUGCUCUGGUGGGAUCCCUGCGCCUUUCUUUCUAACAGUUGGUAAAUAUAUAAAGGCCUUAGGUUCCAGAAGGAUAUUACACAGAAAUGGGGCGUCUCAAGCUGCAGCCUGGGAUCAAGGCAAUUGAGGAAGAACCUGAGGACUAUGAUAUUACAUGUUCUAACAAAGCUACUUUAGCAUGUAUGAUUAAUUCGGAAGUAGGUGCUGUAUUAGCUGUCAUGAGGAGAAAUGUAAGAUGGGGUGGUCGAUACAUGUCAAGUGACGAUCAGCUAGAACACUCUUUAAUUCAGUCAUUGAAGGCAUUACGAAAGCAAAUUUUCUUGUGGCAGAAUCAGUGGCAUACCAUCAACCCUGUUGCGUAUCUUCAGCCUUUUUUAGAUGUGAUUCAAUCUGAUGAAACUGGUGCAUCAAUCACUGGUGUUGCUCUAUCUUCGGUUCACAAAAUUUUAACCCUUGAUGUAAUUGAUCAAAAUACUGUAAAUGUUGAAGAAGCUAUGCGUUUGGUAGUUGAUUUUGUGACUAGCUGCCGAUUUGAGGUGACUGACCCUGCCUCGGAAGAAGUGGUACUGAUGAAGAUACUUCAGGUUCUUCUUGCUUGCAUGAAAAGUAAAGCCUCUAUUAUGUUGAGCAAUCAGCAUGUUUGCACAAUCGUGAACACUUGCUUUCGAAUAGUUCACCAAGCAGAGAAGAAAGGUGAAUUGUUGCAGCGUAUAGCUCGCCACACAAUGCAUGAACUUGUUAGGUGUAUAUUUUCACACCUUUCAAAUGUUGAGAACACAAAGCAUGCCUUGAUUAACAGAAGUAGCACUGCUAAACUUGAGCUUGGUGGGAUAAAUAGUGAUUAUGCAUUUGGGGCUAAACAAGUUGAAAAUGGAAACGGCUCUGAGUAUGAUGGUCAAGCAUCUUCUGGAAGUUUUGGAUCCAAUUCUGCAGGUCUGGUAGGAACUGUGAGGGAAGAAAGUAUGGUAGUAGCUGGUGACGGAAAGGAGACAAUUCCAUAUGAUUUGCACCUCAUGACAGAACCAUAUGGCGUCCCUUGCAUGGUGGAGAUAUUUCAUUUUUUGUGCUCUUUACUUAAUGUUGUUGAGCACGUGGGAAUGGACCCCCACUCAAAUACCCUAGCAUUUGAUGAGGAUGUGCCGCUUUUUGCCUUGGGAUUAAUCAACUCUGCUAUAGAGUUGGGUGGACCAUCCUUCCGUCGUCACCCAAGGCUAUUGAGCUUGAUUCAGGAUGAAUUAUUUCGUAAUCUGAUGCAAUUUGGGUUGUCAAUGAGUCCACUCAUUCUUUCAAUGGUAUGUAGUAUUGUUCUAAAUCUUUACCAUCAUCUCCGUACAGAACUCAAACUACAGCUUGAAGCUUUUUUUUCCUGUGUGAUUCUGAGGCUUGCACAAGGCAAAUAUGGAGCUUCGUACCAGCAGCAGGAGGUGGCUAUGGAAGCCCUCGUUGAUUUCUGUAGGCAGAAAACAUUUAUGGUGGAAAUGUAUGCUAAUUUAGAUUGUGAUAUAACUUGCCGCAAUGUGUUCGAAGACCUUGCUAAUUUGUUGUCAAAGAGUGCAUUCCCUGUGAACUGCCCUCUGUCUGCAAUGCACAUUCUUGCAUUGGAUGGUUUAAUUGCUGUUAUACAGGGAAUGGCUGAGAGGAUUGGGAAUGGUUCGAUUAGUUCAGAGCAGGCCCCAGUUAUUCUCGAGGAAUAUUUGCCAUUCUGGAUGGUGAAGUGUGAUAACUACGAUGAUCCAGUUCAUUGGGUUCCAUUUGUCAGGCGGAGAAAAUACAUCAAAAGAAGGUUGAUGAUUGGAGCUGAUCACUUCAACCGUGACCCAAAAAAAGGGUUAGAGUUCCUCCAAGGAACACAUCUUUUGCCUGACAAACUUGACCCCCAGAGUGUGGCUUGCUUUUUCAGGUACACUGCUGGAUUAGAUAAGAAUCUUGUUGGGGAUUUCCUGGGAAAUCAUGAUGAAUUCUGUGUUCAGGUUCUUCAUGAAUUUGCUGGGACAUUUGAUUUCCAAGAUAUGAAUCUAGAUACUGCACUAAGACUGUUCCUGGAAACUUUUCGAUUGCCUGGAGAAUCACAAAAGAUAGAAAGGGUGCUGGAGGCAUUCUCUGAGAGAUAUUAUGAGCAAUCCCCACAGAUUCUAGCUAAUAAGGAUGCUGCUUUGUUAUUAUCAUAUUCACUUAUAAUGCUUAACACUGACCAGCACAAUGUCCAAGUAAAGAAAAAGAUGACAGAGGAGGAUUUCAUCCGGAAUAAUCGGCAUAUAAACGGAGGUAACGAUCUACCUCGAGAAUUUCUGUCGGAAUUAUACCACUCAAUAUGCAAGAAUGAGAUCCGCACAACUCCAGAGCAAGGCUUCGGUUAUCCUGAAAUGACCCCGAGUCGGUGGAUAGAUCUGAUGCACAAGUCUAAGAAAACUGCACCAUUCAUUGUAGCUGAUUCUAGAGCAUACCUUGACCAUGAUAUGUUCGCAAUAAUGUCAGGUCCAACAAUUGCUGCUAUCUCUGUUGUAUUUGAUCAUGCUGAACAUGAAGAUGUUUACCAGACCUGUAUUGAUGGAUUCUUAGCUGUUGCCAAGAUUUCAGCAUGCCAUCAUCUUGAAGAUGUACUGGAUGACCUAGUUGUGUCUCUCUGCAAAUUUACCACACUUUUGAAUCCAUCAUCUAUUGAGGAACCAGUGUUAGCUUUUGGUGACGACGCCAAAGCAAGGAUGGCAACUGGAACUGUUUUUACUAUUGCAAAUAGAUAUGGUGACUAUAUUCGCACAGGUUGGAGGAAUAUACUGGAUUGCAUCUUACGACUGCACAAGCUGGGGCUUCUUCCAGCUCGUGUAGCCAGUGAUGCCGCUGAUGAGUCAGAGCUCUCUGCAGACCCCGGUCAUGGAAAGCCAAUUACAAAUUCUUUGUCUUCAGCUCACUUACAGUCCAUAGGAACCCCCAGGAGAUCCUCUGGAUUGAUGGGCCGGUUCAGUCAGCUUUUAUCUCUUGAUACAGAGGAGCCAAGAUCACAGCCCACUGAGCAACAACUUGCUGCUCAUCAACGCACCCUUCAGACAAUUCAAAAGUGCCACAUUGAUAGCAUAUUUACAGAGAGCAAAAUUUUGCAAGCUGAAUCUUUGUUGCAGUUAGCACGAGCCCUAAUUUGGGCUGCAGGGCGGCCCCAGAAAGGAAACAGCUCACCUGAGGAUGAAGAUACUGCCGUUUUCUGCCUGGAGUUGCUUAUUGCUAUUACCUUGAACAACCGUGAUAGGAUUGUACUUCUAUGGCAGGGUGUCUAUGAGUACAUAGCUAAUAUUGUUCAAUCAACCGUUAUGCCUUGUGCCCUGGUUGAAAAGGCUGUUUUUGGGCUUCUUAGAAUUUGCCAAAGGCUUCUUCCUUACAAAGAGAACCUGGCUGAUGAACUCUUGAGGUCCCUGCAACUUGUCUUGAAGCUUGAUGCUCGAGUGGCUGAUGCGUACCGUGAGCAGAUCACACAGGAAGUAAGUCGCCUAGUGAAGGCAAAUGCUACCCAUAUCAGAUCUCAAAUGGGGUGGCGCACGAUAACAUCUUUACUUUCCAUCACAGCCCGACAUCCAGAAGCAUCUGAAGCAGGUUUUGAUGCACUAUUAUUUAUUAUCUCUGAUGGGGCUCACUUGCUCCCAGCCAAUUAUAUUCUCUGCAUAGAUGCUGCGAGGCAGUUUGCCGAGUCACGUGUUGGACAGGCAGAGCGAUCUAUACGUGCACUGGAUCUUAUGUCCGGUUCUGUUGAUUGUUUGGAAAGGUGGACCCGUGAGGCAAAGGAAGCAAUGGGAGAGGAGGAUGCUGGCAAGAUGUUUCAGGAUGUCGGUGAUUUAUGGUUGAGGCUUGUGCAGGGACUCAGAAAAGUUUGUUUGGACCAGAGAGAAGAUGUCAGAAACCAUGCUCUUCUAUCAUUGCAGAAAUGCUUGACUGGAGUGGAUGGCAUCCACGUUUCUCAUGGUUUAUGGUUGCAGUGUUUCGAUCUUGUAAUCUUCACAAUGCUUGAUGACUUGCUUGAAAUUGCUCAGGGACACCAAAAAGACUACCGCAAUAUGGAAGGCACGCUUAUUCUUGCUACAAAGCUCCUUUCCAAAGUGUUCUUACAGUUACUCCCUGAGCUCUCUCAGUUAACUACAUUCUGCAAACUGUGGCUUGGUGUGCUUAGCCGAAUGGAAAAGUAUAUGAAAGUAAAAGUUCGAGGUAAGAAAAGUGAGAAGCAUCAGGAGCUAGUGCUUGAGCUUCUCAAGAACAUCUUGCUCGUAAUGAAGACAAAGGGAGUACUCAUGCAGAGGAGUGCACUAGGAGGAGAUAGUUUGUGGGAACUGACAUGGUUGCAUGUGAAUAACAUUGCGCCAUCUUUGCAGUCCGAGGUUUUCCCUGAUCAGGAUCCAGAGAUCAAGCAUGGUGAAACUGGUAUUGUGUCCGGUGAAACAGUUUCUGUUCCUUCAAAUGAAACAACCACCACUGAAGGAGCUGGUGCAGGAAGUUAACAUUGUGUACAGUUGGAUGGAUGAGAAGGGCUUGUCAUAGCAAGCCGUAGUGUCACACGCAUGAUAUGUUAUGAUGCAUUAGAGUGAGCCUUCCUUAGAAAUGUGGAUAAGUUGUUGAGUUAUAAUUACCUGUUGUUUUAUAUUUGGUUAGUGUUCCAUCUCAUUGCUGCCUCCAUGGAACCUUGCCAAAAUGUUGUUUUAAAAUUGGUAUUCCUUAGAAACUUUAAUUAGUUCGCAGUCUGCAUAUGGUGUUUCUGGCUUUUUGCAACGAGAAGGAUUC